GAUGAACGCUGGCGGCGUGCCUAAUACAUGCAAGUAGAACGCUGAAGCUUGGUGCUUGCACCGAGCGGAAGAGUUGCGAACGGGUGAGUAACGCGUAGGUAACCUGCCUCUUAGCGGGGGAUAACUAUUGGAAACGAUAGCUAAUACCGCAUAAAAGUCGGCAUUGCAUGAUGUUGACUUGAAAGGUGCAACUGCAUCACUAAGAGAUGGAUCUGCGUUGUAUUAGCUAGUUGGUGAGGUAACGGCUCACCAAGGCGACGAUACAUAGCCGACCUGAGAGGGUGACCGGCCACACUGGGACUGAGACACGGCCCAGACUCCUACGGGAGGCAGCAGUAGGGAAUCUUCGGCAAUGGACGGAAGUCUGACCGAGCAACGCCGCGUGAGUGAAGAAGGUUUUCGGAUCGUAAAGCUCUGUUGUAAGAGAAGAACGAGUGUGAGAGUGGAAAGUUCACACUGUGACGGUAACUUACCAGAAAGGGACGGCUAACUACGUGCCAGCAGCCGCGGUAAUACGUAGGUCCCGAGCGUUAUCCGGAUUUAUUGGGCGUAAAGCGAGCGCAGGCGGUUAGAUAAGUCUGAAGUUAAAGGCUGUGGCUUAACCAUAGUACGCUUUGGAAACUGUUUAACUUGAGUGCAGAAGGGGAGAGUGGAAUUCCAUGUGUAGCGGUGAAAUGCGUAGAUAUAUGGAGGAACACCGGUGGCGAAAGCGGCUUCUCUGGUCUGUAACUGACGCUGAGGCUCGAAAGCGUGGGGAGCAAACAGG
rnacentral:rRNA from 1 species